rnacentral:rRNA from 1 species
UACAGAGGGUGCGAGCGUUAAUCGGAAUUACUGGGCGUAAGCGUGCGUAGACGGUUAUUUAAGUCGGGUGUGAAAGCCCCGGGCUCAACCUGGGAAUUGCAUUCGAGACUGAGUAGCUAGGGUACGGUAGAGGGAUGCGGAAUUCCUGGUGUAGCGGUGAAAUGCGUAGAUAUCAGGAGGAACACCGGUGGCGAAGGCGGCUCUCUGGACGGAUACUGACGCUGAGGCGCGAAAGCCAGGGUAGCGAACGGG